AGACAGCAUCAGUGGAUGUUGCAAAUACCUCCUGCCUGGUUUCCCCACUCACCCCAAACCAGCCUCCUACUGACUGAUACAGAUCCCAAACAGAUUGUUCCCAUCCACUGGACCCUGUUGUUCCCAAUGGAGAAAUUCCUCACAAAGGAUGAGGAAGGGGGUCUCAGCCAAAUUCAGCACAAGUGCAGUCACACCCUGCGUUGUAAGGCUCCUCAGUUCCAUGAGGUAUGAUGAAGGAAAGCUGGGAUGCUUCAGCAGGAGCUGCCUAUCACAGUGAAUGAUGUAUCAACACUGAAAUGAGGGAGGAGGUGGUAAGAUGCUGCACAUGUUUCUUAUUCCCUACAUAUUCUGGGGGAAUUCCCUGCUUAUUCUGCUGCAGUCAGUGGAUUCAUUUUGACGUAAAACUGAUGGACUUGAGAUAAGAAUGAGGCCCAACCUGAAGAAAAGAAAGAGUACAUUGCUAAGAAAUGAGCUGUUGGACACAAACAGGGGAAGUCUCCUCCUAAGCCUGUGGAUGAGGGAUGCCCUUCUCCUCCCACGAGGACACAGUGACAACUUCUGACCACAGAGAAGCACUGUGCGAGUACCGCAGAGGGAAGACAGCCGUACCCAGCAAUCUGGUGUAUUUUUCAGUGAGGUGGAUUUGUGCAUUCCAGACAUCUACUGGGAUUCACUACGUGCCACGUUUCUCUGCACAGAGAGGUUUCAGGGUUUUACAGUGAAGGAUGUUAGCCAUUUACUUACACACUCUGAAGCAGUGAUUGUUAAUGAGCUGGACAUGAAAGACUGCCCUUCAUUCAAACUCACCAAAACUUCCAGAGUUCUGGAAAGAAA